CACAGUGAGUGUGAAGGACAUCCAGGCGCACCUGGCUCAGGGCCAUGUGGCCAUCGUGCUGGUGAACUCAGGGGUGCUGCACUGUGACCUGUGCUCCAGCCCUGUCAAGUACUGCUGCUUCACCCCCAGUGGCCACCGCUGCUUCUGCCGCACUCCUGACUACCAGGGCCACUUCAUCGUGCUGCGUGGCUACAACCGGGCCACUGGCUGCAUCUUCUACAACAACCCAGCCUAUGCCGACCGAAUGUGCAGCACCAGCAUCAGUAACUUUGAGGAGGCCAGAACCAGCUAUGGCACAGAUGAGGACAUCCUCUUUGUCUACUUGGACAGCUGACAGCAGGAGCCUGGUGCGCCUAGGCCCUCGGACCCCAUCCCCACCCCAGCCGGGCCCACUCAGGAUGCCCUGGCCCAGGCUUGGGGCUGCUGGGGUUGGAAUGUGGAACUGCAGCCUCAGCCCAUCUGGCAGAGCCCCAGGAACUCUGGGAGACUGGCACAGCUGCUUUGUCUGCCAG
rnacentral:sRNA from 1 species